GACGAACGCUGGCGGCAUGCCUAACACAUGCAAGUCGAACGGAGAAAAAGGAAGCUUGCUUUCUUUUCUUAGUGGCGGACGGGUGAGUAACGCGUGAGUAACCUGCCUUUCAGAGGGGGAUAACGUUCUGAAAAGAACGCUAAUACCGCAUGAGACUACGGAGCUGCAUGGCUCAGUGGUCAAAGGAGCAAUCCGCUGAAAGAUGGACUCGCGUCCGAUUAGAUAGUUGGCGGGGUAACGGCCCACCAAGUCGACGAUCGGUAGCCGGACUGAGAGGUUGAACGGCCACAUUGGGACUGAGACACGGCCCAG
rnacentral:rRNA from 1 species